AAAUUUGUUUCAUAUAUUAUGAAUAUAUUACUACAACAAAAUAUAUUUUAGACGAUACUAUAUUCUUUCGUCUUUAACAUUUGGCAUAUGCCUACACCAUAAUUAAGCGUCAUCAAUAAACAUACUUUAUCAAAUACUACUAAAAAUUUUUUGAUGCUAUAUUAAAACUGUUGGUAUAUUUAUCCAAAUAUAUUUACUUAACGACCCUUUGCUCAACGUUUUAUAAGUGUUGGGGUUAUACUUACCGAUGUUUUAAAGCAUCUGUUAAAUAUGUCUCGAAUUUUAAUACUGUAAGGUCUUCUAAAUCUAUUAUGUUUUGAUUAUCUCAUUAAGUUAAGUUUAGAUUAUGUCUAAUUUUAUUAAGAUAUUCCUAAUUUUGGUGGAUUUGUAUUCCUAGUUGUAUUAGGAUUUAGCCACUCUUAUAAAUAUACCCUUUAUUCUAUUAGUUUAGUACGGAAGAUGAGAGAGGGAAUAUGGAUGUAUUUUUGGGAUUAGGGUUUUGCGAGAGAGGCAUAUUUUGUACACCACUUUGAUUAUAAUGAAGAUUUCGGCUCCGUCGUCCGUGGAUGUAUGCCGGUG
rnacentral:lncRNA from 1 species